rnacentral:piRNA from 1 species
GUAAGAAGGAUGUGAUAGAGCUG